UAGCCGUAAACGAUACUCGCUAGGUGUCGGCCACGGUGCGACCGUUGUCGGUGCCGUAGGGAAGCCGUGAAGCGAGCCACCUGGGAAGUACGGCCGCAAGGCUGAAACUAAAGGAAUUGGCGGGGGAGCACAACAAACGGGUGGAGCUUGCGGUUUAAUUGGAUUCAACGCCGGAAAUCUUGCCGGGACCGACAGCAACAUGAAGGCCAAGCUGAAGACUUUGCCGGAUUAGCUGAGAGGAGGUGCAUGGCGUAGUCGUGU
rnacentral:rRNA from 1 species